rnacentral:misc_RNA from 1 species
AAGUCGUAACAAGGUUUCCGUAGGUGAACCUGCGGAAGGAUCAUUAACACGUUAUCCACGUAUCUACCUCUUGCGAACUUUUUACUGUUCAGGAGUCGGCAGACCAGCGUAGAUAAUGGAGGUAGAUGUUACUAUGUCCAGUGGCCGACGCCCUGGUUCUACCUGCCUAGCUAACCCCGCCAUCCCCUUCGUUUUUUUUUAAAUGUGGUGUAAGAAAAAAAGUAGCGUGUUGGGUGUGGGCUUAGGUAUUCUGGUUCAUAUGACUCGAAUCAUAGUAGUUUUUUUAAUCUUAUUAACCCUUUUUUACUUAAUUUGUUGAAUUGUGAUGGUCCCUGGAGGUAACACUUCGGGUGGCUCACGUUAAUAAAACACUAUACAACUCUUAGCAACGGAUAUCUCGGUUCU